GAUGAACGCUAGCGGCAGGCUUAAUACAUGCAAGUCGAGGGGCAGCAGGACUGUAGCAAUACAGUUGCUGGCGACCGGCAAACGGGUGCGGAACACGUACGCAACCUACCCAAAACUGGGGGAUAGCCCGGGGAAACCCGGAUUAAUACCUCGUAACCUUUUUAAGUGGCAUCACUUGAUAAGUAUAGCUCCGGCGGUUUUGGAUGGGCGUGCGCCUGAUUAGGUAGUUGGUGCGGGUAACGGCCCACCAAGCCUGCGAUCAGUAACUGGUGAGAGAGCACGACCAGUCACACGGGCACUGAGACACGGGCCCGACUCCUACGGGAGGCAGCAGUAAGGAAUAUUGGUCAAUGGACGCAAGUCUGAACCAGCCAUGCCGCGUGAAGGAUGAAGGUCCUCUGGAUUGUAAACUUCUUUUAUGGGGGACGAAACCCGGAUAUUCUUAUCCGAUUGACGGUACCUCAGGAAUAAGCACCGGCUAACUCCGUG
rnacentral:rRNA from 1 species